GACGUAGGGACGAGCGUUGUCCGGAUUCGAUGGCGUAAAGCGCGCGUAGGCGGUUGGUAAGUCGGAUGUGAAACCAGAGGCUCAACCUCUGGCCUGCAUCCGAUACUGCCGACUAGAGGUAGGUAGGGAGAUCGGAAUUCCUGGUGUAGCGGUGAAAUGCGCAGAUAUCAGGAGGAACACCGGUGGCGAAGGCGGAUCUCUGGGGCCUACCUGACGCUGAGGCGCGAAAGCUAGGGGAGCAACAGG
rnacentral:rRNA from 1 species